AUGCAGUCAGAAUGUCAAGAAACCCAACAAGAAUUCACACACAGGACCACGCUGCUGCUGCUUGACCUCACACAAAUGUAUCUGCAUUUGUACUACAGAAAUAAAAUAGCAUUUUACAAAAAGCUGGAGCAAGCCUUCAAAGAAAAAGGUUACAACAUCAGCAAUGAAAAAUUGCGCAAAAAACUUGGCAACAUGAUCACUACUUACAAAAGGGCUAAAGACCGGUGUCGGUCAACAGGAGAGGGAAAAGUUACAUGGGAGUAUUACAAGGAAAUGGAAGACUUAUUUGGGAAAUCUGGAGUUGGGAGUGCACCAUCAGGCACAAUCUGCUCGACUCCUCUGUUCAACACUACCUCAUCCCACACCAAGUCCUCAAUUGCACAGGCCACAGGCUCCCAAGAACAGCCUCUCCCAGAAGAACAACCAGGUCCCUCCACUGCUAUGCCCUCCAAAGAAAUGCACAGAAGGAGACAAACAACAUCCACAUUCUGUGAAGUUUAUGAAGCGCAUUCAGAGAGGAGAACAGCUGCUCUAGAGUCACUAGUGCGGCCUGACUUGGAGCGCCGAAGAAGGCUUAAAGAGAGGCGGAGAAGGAUGUUUGAAAAAAAAAUCAUUUGAUAGUAAGUGCUUAAAAAUAAUCGUGUACAAUCCCAUCCACCAGCUCACAAAACAGUCAAAUCAAAA
rnacentral:lncRNA from 1 species